GCUAGCGUGGCCCAAUGGAUAAGGCGCAUGACUACGAAUCAUGAGAUUCCGGGUUCGAGUCCUGGCGUUGGUU
rnacentral:tRNA from 1 species